rfam:Sphaerochaeta pleomorpha str. Grapes, complete genome.
GGGACUGUAGCUCAGGUGGUUAGAGCGCGUGCCUGAUAAGCACGAGGUCAUAAGUUCAAGUCUUAUCAGUCCCA